UUUGUAUAAUGGGUCAGCGACUUAUAUUCAGUGGCAAGGUUAACCAUCUAGGGGAGCCGUAGGGAAACCGAGUCUUAACUGGGCGUUCAGUCUCUGGAUAUAGACCCGAAACCAGGUGAUCUAGCCAUGGGCAGGUUGAAGGUUGAGUAACAUCAACUGGAGGACCGAACCGACUAAUGUUGAAAAAUUAGCGGAUGACUUGUGGCUAGGGGUGAAAGGCCAAUCAAACCUGGAGAUAGCUGGUUCUCCCCGAAAGCUAUUUAGGUAGCGCCUCGGACGAAUACUACUGGGGGUAGAGCACUGUUAAGGCUAGGGGGUCAUCCCGACUUACCAACCCUUUGCAAACUCCGAAUACCAGUAAGUACUAUCCGGGAGACACACGGCGGGUGCUAACGUCCGUCGUGGAGAGGGAAACAACCCAGACCGCCAGCUAAGGUCCCAAAUUACUACUAAGUGGGAAACGAUGUGGGAAGGCUCAGACAGCCAGGAUGUUGGCUUAGAAGCAGCCAUCAUUUAAAGAAAGCGUAAUAGCUCACUGGUCGAGUCGGCCUGCGCGGAAGAUGUAACGGGGCUAAGUAGUAAACCGAAGCUGCGGCAAUAUACUUUUGUAUAUUGGGUAGGGGAGCGUUCUGUAAGCGGUUGAAGGUGUGUGGUAACGCAUGCUGGACGUAUCAGAAGUGCGAAUGCUGACAUGAGUAACGAUAAAGGGGGUGAAAAACCUCCUCGCCGGAAGACCAAGGGUUCCUGUCCAACGUUAAUCGGGGCAGGGUAAGUCGACCCCUAAGGCGAGGCCGAAAGGCGUAGUCGAUGGGAAACGGGUUAAUAUUCCCGUACUUCUUACAAUUGCGAUGGGGGGACGGAGAAGGCUAGGUGGGCCUGGCGACGGUUGUCCAGGUUCAAGUGCGUAGGCUGAGAGAUUAGGUAAAUCCGGUUUCUCUUAAGGCUGAGACACGACGUCGAGCACCUACGGGUGUGAAGUCAUUGAUGCCAUGCUUCCAGGAAAAGCCUCUAAGCUUCAGAUUGUAAGGAAUCGUACCCCAAACCGACACAGGUGGUCGGGUAGAGAAUACCAAGGCGCUUGAGAGAACUCGGGUGAAGGAACUAGGCAAAAUGGUACCGUAACUUCGGGAGAAGGUACGCUCUCGACGGUGAAGUCCCUUGCGGAUGGAGCUAUUGAGAGUCGCAGAUACCAGGUGGCUGCAACUGUUUAUUAAAAACACAGCACUGUGCAAAAUCGUAAGAUGACGUAUACGGUGUGACGCCUGCCCGGUGCCGGAAGGUUAAUUGAUGGGGUUAGACUUCGGUCGAAGCUCUUGAUCGAAGCCCCGGUAAACGGCGGCCGUAACUAUAACGGUCCUAAGGUAGCGAAAUUCCUUGUCGGGUAAGUUCCGACCUGCACGAAUGGCGUAAUGAUGGCCACGCUGUCUCCACCCGAGACUCAGUGAAAUUGAAAUCGCUGUGAAGAUGCAGUGUACCCGCGGCUAGACGGAAAGACCCCGUGAACCUUUACUACAGCUUGGCACUGAACAUUGACCCUACAUGUGUAGGAUAGGUGGGAGGCUUUGAAGCACGUACGCCAGUAUGUGUGGAGCCGUCCUUGAAAUACCACCCUUGUAGUGUUGAUGUUCUAACGUCGACCCCUAAUCGGGGUUGCGGACAGUGCCUGGUGGGUAGUUUGACUGGGGCGGUCUCCUCCCAAAGAGUAACGGAGGAGCACGAAGGUGGGCUAAUCACGGUUGGACAUCGUGAGGUUAGUGCAAUGGCAUAAGCCCGCUUGACUGCGAGAAUGACAAUUCGAGCAGGUGCGAAAGCAGGUCAUAGUGAUCCGGUGGUUCUGAAUGGAAGGGCCAUCGCUCAACGGAUAAAAGGUACUCCGGGGAUAACAGGCUGAUACCGCCCAAGAGUUCAUAUCGACGGCGGUGUUUGGCACCUCGAUGUCGGCUCAUCACAUCCUGGGGCUGAAGUCGGUCCCAAGGGUAUGGCUGUUCGCCAUUUAAAGUGGUACGCGAGCUGGGUUUAGAACGUCGUGAGACAGUUCGGUCCCUAUCUGCCGUGGGCGUUGGAAGAUUGAAGGGGGCUGCUCCUAGUACGAGAGGACCGGAGUGGACGAACCUCUGGUGUUCGGGUUGUGUCGCCAGACGCAUUGCCCGGUAGCUAAGUUCGGAAUCGAUAACCGCUGAAAGCAUCUAAGCGGGAAGCGAGCCCUGAGAUGAGUCUUCCCUGAUACUUUAAGUAUCCUAAAGGGUUGUCGGAGACUACGACGUUGAUAGGUCAGGUGUGUAAGUGCUGUGAGGCAUUGAGCUAACUGAUACUAAUUGCCCGUGAGGCUUAACCAU
rnacentral:rRNA from 1 species